rnacentral:rRNA from 1 species
AACGAACGCUGGCGGCAUGCCUAACACAUGCAAGUCGAACGAGACCUUCGGGUCUAGUGGCGCACGGGUGCGUAACGCGUGGGAACCUGCCUUUAGGUUCGGAAUAACUCAGAGAAAUUUGAGCUAAUACCGGAUGAUGUCUUCGGACCAAAGAUUUAUCGCCUUUAGAUGGGCCCACGUUGGAUUAGCUAGUUGGUGGGGUAAAGGCCUACCAAGGCGACGAUCCAUAGCUGGUCUGAGAGGAUGAUCAGCCACACUGGGACUGAGACACGGCCCAGACUCCUACGGGAGGCAGCAGUGGGGAAUAUUGGACAAUGGGCGAAAGCCUGAUCCAGCAAUGCCGCGUGAGUGAUGAAGGCCUUAGGGUUGUAAAGCUCUUUUACCCGAGAUGAUAAUGACAGUAUCGGGAGAAUAAGCUCCGGCUAACUCCGUG